rnacentral:lncRNA from 1 species
GCGAUUCUCUUGCCUUAGCCUCCUGAGUAGCUGGGAUUACAGGAGACCCCAGGAACUGAAGUGGCAAGGGUGAAUCCUGUGAGACGAUGAGGAAUGAGACCAGGCUGAAGUGUGAGAUGCAGUAGCCCUCCUCCACCUCCACCAGAAGGCAGGGGUGGAAUAAGAGCUGAAAGACGGAGUCUCAUUCUGUCGCCCAGGCUGGAGUGAGUGGCGUG